CGUGUAGGCGGAUCGAGAAGUCGGGUGUGAAAGCCCUGGGCUCAACCCAGGAAGUGCGCCCGAAACCAUCGGUCUUGAGUUUCGGAGGGGAGCGGGGAAUUCCCAGUGUAGAGGUGAAAUUCGUAGAUAUUGGGAGGAACACCGGUGCCGAAGGGGCCGCUCUGGACGAAUACUGACGCUGAGACGCGAAAGCGUGGGUAGCAAACA
rnacentral:rRNA from 1 species